GUAAUCUGUGUACGCACGAGUUGGAUCUUACGUAGACUGGGUAAAAGGCAAAAUGAGCGGUGAUGUGGGUGGUGGAAAAUCAAGUCGAGGGAAGCUGCAAGGAUGGACUUUCCUUCUUACUGGGCAGUGAAGAAUAAAUUGAUAUGAAAA